GACGUAGGGCGCGAGCGUUGUCCGGAUUUAUUGGGCGUAAAGAGCUCGUAGGCGGCUUGUUGCGUCGACCGUGAAAACCCGCGGCUUAACUGCGGGCUUGCGGUUGAUACGGGCGGGCUGGAGUUCGGUAGGGGAGACUGGAAUUCCUGGUGUAGCGGUGAAAUGCGCAGAUAUCAGGAGGAACACCGGUGGCGAAGGCGGGUCUCUGGGACGUUACUGACGCUGAGACGCGAAAGCGUGGGGAGCAAACAGG
rnacentral:rRNA from 1 species